CUUCAGCGAGCCCAGCCACACCGGGUCCUGUUCGUCACGUCCCUGGCCAUAGGUGGCCAGCAGGGCACGGGCUUC
rnacentral:antisense_RNA from 1 species